GACGUAGGAAGCAAGCGUUGCCCGGAAUUACUGGGCGUAAAGAGCUCGUAGGCGGGGGCGUGCGUCUGAAAGGAAAUCUCAAGGCUCAACCUUGGGGCUUUUUCAGAUACGGCGCUUCUUGAGGGUGAGAGAGGAAAGCGGAAUUCCAGGUGUAGCGGUGAAAUGCGUAGAUAUCUGGAGGAACACCAGCGGCGAAGGCGGCUUUCUGGCUCAUUCCUGACGCUGAGGAGCGAAAGCGUGGGUAGCGAACGGG
rnacentral:rRNA from 1 species